AGCGGAUGCUAGCGGAUGCCCUAG
rnacentral:siRNA from 1 species